rnacentral:rRNA from 1 species
AGAGUUUGAUCAUGGCUCAGGAUGAACGCUGGCAGUGUGCCUAAUACAUGCAUGUCGAACGAAGUGAUGCUUGCAUCACUUAGUGGCAAAUGGGUGAGUAACACGUACUUAACCUACCCGAAAGACUGGAAUAGCUAUGAGAAAUCGUAGGUAAUACCGGAUAAUAUUUAGAAUCGCAUGAUUCUAUUUUAAAAGGAGCGUUCGCUCCACUUUCGGAUGGGAGUGCGGGACAUUAGUUAGUUGGUGGGGUAAAGGCCUACCAAGACGAUGAUGUCUAGCCGAGCUGAGAGGCUGACCGGCCACACUGGGACUGAGAUACGGCCCAGACUCCUACGGGGGGCAGCAGUAGGGAAUUUUUCACAAUGAGCGAAAGCUUGAUGAAGCAACACUGCGUGCAGGAAGAAGGUCUUCGGAUCGUAAACUGCUGUUGUAAGGGAAGAAAGGUAACUGGAGGAAAUGCCAGCUAUUUGACGGUACCUUACCAGAAAGUCACGGCUAACUAUGUGCCAGCAGCCGCGGUAAUACAUAGGUGACAAGCGUUAUCCGGAAUUAUUGGGCGUAAAGCGUUCGUAGGUGGUUUACCAAGUCAAAAGUUAAAUCCUGAAGCUCAACUUCAGCUCGCUUUUGAAACUAGUAAACUAGAGUUAUAGAGAGGUCAAUGGAACUCCUAGUGAAGCGGUGGAAUGCGUAGAUAUUAGGAAGAACACCAGUGGCGAAGGCGAUUGGCUGGCUAUAUACUGACACUGAGGAACGAAAGCGUGGGUAGCAAAUAGGAUUAGAUACCCUAGUAGUCCACGCUGUAAACGAUGAUCAUUAGAUGUCGGGCAAAAGCUCAGUAUCACAGCUAACGCGUUAAAUGAUCCGCCUGAGUAGUAUGCUCGCAAGAGUGAAACUUAAAGGAAUUGACGGGGACCCGCACAAGCGGUGGAGCAUGUGGUUUAAUUUGAAGAUACGCGAAGAACCUCACCUACACUUGACAUCUUCCGCAAAGCUAUAGAGAUAUAGUGGAGGUUAACGGAAUGACAGAUGGUGCAUGGUCGUCGUCAGCUCGUGUCGUGAGAUGUUUGGUUAAGUCCAGCAACGAGCGAAACCCCUAUCCAUAGUUACUAACAUUCAGUUGAGGACUCUAUGGAGACUGCCCGGGUAACCGGGAGGAAGGUGGGGAUGACGUCAGAUCAUCAUGCCUCUUACGUGUAGGGCAACACACGUGCUACAAUGGUAAAUACAAAGGGAAGCAAUACCGUGAGGUGGAGCAAACCCCAAAAAAUUUAUCUCAGUUCGGAUUGAAGUCUGCAACUCGACUUCAUGAAGCUGGAAUCGCUAGUAAUCGUAGGUCAGCUAUACUACGGUGAAUACGUUCUCGGGUCUUGUACACACCGCCCGUCACACCACGGGAGCUGAUAAUACCCAAAGCCGGUUAGUUAACUUCGGAAACGACUGUCUAAGGUAGGAUUGGUGACUGGGGUGAAGUCGUAACAAGGUAAC